rnacentral:rRNA from 1 species
GAUGAACGCUGGCCGCGUGCCUAAUACAUGCAAGUCGAGCGAACAGAUGAGGAGCUUGCUCCUCUGACGUUAGCGGCGGACGGGUGAGUAACACGUGGAUAACCUACCUAUAAGACUGGGAUAACUUCGGGAAACCGGAGCUAAUACCGGAUAAUAUAUUGAACCGCAUGGUUCAAUAGUGAAAGACGGUUUUGCUGUCACUUAUAGAUGGAUCCGCGCCGCAUUAGCUAGUUGGUAAGGUAACGGCUUACCAAGGCAACGAUGCGUAGCCGACCUGAGAGGGUGAUCGGCCACACUGGAACUGAGACACGGUCCAGACUCCUACGGGAGGCAGCAGUAGGGAAUCUUCCGCAAUGGGCGAAAGCCUGACGGAGCAACGCCGCGUGAGUGAUGAAGGUCUUCGGAUCGUAAAACUCUGUUAUUAGGGAAGAACAAAUGUGUAAGUAACUAUGCACGUCUUGACGGUACCUAAUCAGAAAGCCACGGCUAACUACGUG